rnacentral:lncRNA from 1 species
UGCUGGGAUUGCAGGCAUGAGCCACUGCGCCUGGCCUACAAUUAGACUUUUUUAAUAAGUGAAAAAGAAAUUAACAGUAUUUAUAAAUUUAAUAGUAAAUAUGUAUAAUCAGAGUUUGAGGUAUUUUUCAAUGAAGGCAUUUUCUUUGCAGAAAGAAAUUUCAGAGCUUCCAAGACCACAAACUUAAAAUAAGUAAAGAAGCAGUAAAAUUCUUAAAAAGAUGCAGAAAGAUGGAUUUUUGCAUGAGAUGCUUCUGGACAGAGAACCAAAUUGAAAGCCGACAGAUACUGC